CAGCCGUAAACUAUGCGCGUUAGGUGUAUCGGUGACCACGAGUUACCGAGGUGCCGAAGGGAAACCGUGAAACGUGCCGCCUGGGAAGUACGGUCGCAAGGCUGAAACUUAAAGGAAUUGGCGGGGGAGCACCACAACAGGUGGAGCCUGCGGUUUAAUUGGACUCAACGCCGGGAAGCUCACCGGAUAGGACAGCAGAAUGAUUGCCGGGCUGAAGACCCUGCAUGACUAGCUGAGAGGAGGUGCAUGGCGUCAGUG
rnacentral:rRNA from 1 species